rnacentral:rRNA from 1 species
UACGUAGGGCGCAAGCGUUUAUCCGGAAUUAUUGGGCGUAAAGAGCUCGUAGGCGGUUUGUCGCGUCUGCCGUGAAAGUCCGGGGCUCAACUCCGGAUCUGCGGUGGGUACGGGCAGACUAGAGUGAUGUAGGGGGAGACUGGAAUUCCCUGGUGUAGCGGUGAAAUGCGCAGAUAUCAGGAGGAACACCGAUGGCGAAGGCAGGUCUCUGGGCAUUAACUGACGCUGAGGAGCGAAAGCAUGGGGAGCGAACAGG